GUCAAAAGUGCAGAGCAGGAAGACAGAAAGGAUGAAGUGAAUGAAAGCACAGGAAAAGUACAGCAGACAGAAAGGAAGAAAGCCAGUAGAUCUUACAUGUGUCGGAGUAUUUACAUGAGCGUGUUAAAUAUCCUGUCUAAUGCAUGAUUUGUGAGCUUUUGUUUUACACCCACAGGCAACCGAAGGCAAAAUGAGAUGCAACUGAUCUGCACAACAGGCCCGGCAGGUCCCACAUGUGCUGUGCAAAAGAAAAUGGCCAUCUUGCGUCUACUCGCCUUCUUUGAAGAUGCAAUGAAACGAAUGACUGUAACUCAGUAACUUAUCACUAUGACUACAUCACUGGAAAUUAUGGAGUACUGCAGAUCCCGGGAAAGGUGUUUUGACAGAGCCAAG
ensembl:lncRNA